rnacentral:rRNA from 1 species
ACUGCUCAGUAACACGUGGACAACCUGCCCUUAGGUUGGGUAUAAACCCGGGAAACUGGGUAUAAUACCCGAUAGGUCUCGAUUGCUGGAAUGCAUCGAGAUUUAAAGCUCCGGCGCCUAAGGAUGGGUCUGCGGCCUAUCAGGUAGUAGUGGGUGUAGCGUACCUACUAGCCUACGACGGGUACGGGUUGUGAGAGCAAGAGCCCGGAGAUGGAUUCUGAGACACGAAUCCAGGCCCUACGGGGUGCAGCAGGCGCGAAAACUUUACAAUGCUGGCAACAGCGAUAAGGGAACCUCGAGUGCCAGGUUACAAAUCUGGCUGUCGAGAUGCCUAAAAAGCAUUUCAUAGCAAGGGCCGGGCAAGACCGGUGCCAGCCGCCGCGGUAACACCGGCGGCUCGAGUGGUAACCGUUAUUAUUGGGUCUAAAGGGUCUGUAGCCGGCCGGAUAAGUCUCUUGAGAAAUCUGGCAGCUUAACUGUCAGGCUUUCAGGAGAUACUGUCUGGCUCGAGGCCGGGAGAGGUGAGAGGUACUUCAGGGGUAGGGGUGAAAUCUUGUAAUCCUUGAAGGACCACCAGUGGCGAAGGCGUCUCACCAGAACGGACCUGACGGCAAGGGACGAAAGCUAGGGGCACGAACCGGAUUAGAUACCCGGGUAGUCCUAGCCGUAAACGAUACUCGCUAGGUGUCGGCCACGGUGCGACCAUUGUCGGUGCCGUAGGGAAGCCGUGAAGCGAGCCACCUGGGAAGUACGGCCGCAAGGCUGAAACUUAAAGGAAUUGGCGGGGGAGCAC